rnacentral:tRNA from 3 species
UGCGUAGCUCAGUUGGUAGAGCAACUGACUCUUAAUCAGUGGGUCCGGGGUUCGAACCCCC